rnacentral:rRNA from 1 species
CCUUUCUAGUGAGGAAUACCGGCGAGAAAUCGCCGACAAGACCGCAUGAGCUUGCUGCUUCGGUGCCGCAAGCAAAGCCCCAUUUCGAUGGGGCGCUGGAAGAUGGGCCCGCGGCCGAUUAGCUAGCUGGUGGGGUAACGGCCUACCAGGGCGACGAUCGGUAGCUGGUCUGAGAGGACGAUCAGCCACACUGGGAUUGAGAACGGCCCAG